AUUGAACGCUGGCGGCAUGCCUAACACAUGCAAGUCGAACGGAAGCAGGACUUCGGGUCCUGACGAGUGGCGCAGGGGGGAGUAUUACACCGGAGCGUGUCCCGGGGCGGGGGGGAACGCAUCGGAAGCUGGGCGAAUAUCGCAUGUGAGCUGAGGGUGAGAGCGGGGGGGCACGCAGGAAUGAGUGGCCUCGGGUGUCUGUAGCGGGCGAGGUCGGAUUAGCUAGUUGGUGGGGUAAAGGCAUACCAAGCCGACGAUCCGUAGCUGGUCUGAGAGGACGAUCAGCCACACUGGAACUGAGACACGGUCCAGACUCCUACGGGAGGCAGCAGUGGGGAAUUUUGGACAAUGGGCGAAAGCCUGAUCCAGCCAUGCCGCGUGCGUGAAGAAGGUCUUCGGAUUGUAAACCGCUUUUAUUCGGGACGAAAAGCAUUUAGCUAAUACCUGGCGCUUAUGACGGUACCGAAAGAAUAAGCACCGGCUAACUACGUG
rnacentral:rRNA from 1 species